GAUGAACGCUAGCUACAGGCUUAACACAUGCGAGUCGAGGGGCAGCACAGUGUAGCAAUACACGGGUGGCGACCGGCGCACGGGUGCGUAACACGUAUCCAAUCUGCCCGUUACUCGGGGAUAGCCUUCUGAAAGGAAGAUUAAUACCCGAUGGCAUGUAUUUCCGGCAUCGGAGAUGCAUUAAAGAUUUAUCGGUAACGGAUGAGGAUGCGUACGAUUAGCUAGUUGGCGGGGUAACGGCCCACCAAGGCGACGAUCGUUAGGGGUUCUGAGAGGAAGGGCCCCCACACUGGAACUGAGACACGGUCCAGACUCCUACGGGAGGCAGCAGUGAGGAAUAUUGGUCAAUGGUCGAGAGACUGAACCAGCCAAGUAGCGUGAAGGAUGACUGCCCUACGGGUUGUAAACUUCUUUUGUUUGGGAAUAAAGUGAGGCACGUGUGCCUUUUUGUAUGUACCUUACGAAUAAGCAUCGGCUAAUUCCGUGCCAGCCGCCGCCGUAAUAC
rnacentral:rRNA from 1 species